UCUGACACUGGCAUGCGCACUGCAGCCUCGUGUCAAUUUGAGUCUUCUAGGCAGCUAGGCAGCAGUCACUAUCCAGGCUUCAGCCUCCCCAGUUCCUGUUUCCGCCUCAGCCUCUCGGCAGAUUUUACGCUGAAGCGGCACCGAAUGCACGGGUUGUAGAGCGUUAGACCCCCGUGGAUCUAAUUGUUGCAGGAGAUCUAGAAGGCCAGGCGAAGAUACAUCAUCGAUAGAUCAUCAUCAUCAGUUACCUCCUCGACCUCAGACUGCCUGUGACGGGACAACACUGCCACUCCUCACAGAGCAGGAAGGACUGGAAUCAGGAAGCUGGAUGGAUAUAGGAAGGAGACGUGCCCUAUAGCCUCGCAGACAGGUGGAGCCGGAAGCAGCAGAGUGGCUGGGACAGGACAAUGACAUCACAAUAGCCUGGCCAAUCCUGGAAAAGCCAUGCAUAUAGUAUAAAGGAGGCAGGGAGAACGGAGCCGAAGACAUUGUCCUGAUCGCCCCUCACCCCCUCCCCAACU